rfam:Rhodomicrobium vannielii ATCC 17100, complete genome.
CGUCUUUCCAACGGGCUGGAGACGUUCUAUAUUACUCUUUGCUGGUUCGCCAGCUAUGGCGAUAAAUGGAUAUCGUAAUAAGCCUAUCGGACCCGGGGGCGGUACCCGGCGCCUCCACCACAAGCCGUCUAACGGCGAUGCCUGCGCCGCAAUGGCGACGGCUUUUGAUGGGGGCGAAAUAGGAUCGACGAGGGUGUAAAAGGUGGUCUUUCGCUCGGCAUGGUACCGCCGUUUUGGGCCAAAAUGAUAGUUGCGAAUGACAACUAUGCUGGUGCUCGUCCCGUCGCGAUUGCGGCGUAACUGCACCGAACUAAAGUCCUGAUGGCGUAGCUGCUAUUAGGCGCGGCUGGCGGGCGCCGGGCAACAGAAGCCCGCCACU